UAUUUUCUCCAGUCAGUAUGUGUUAACAGCUCUACAUCUUAUGAAUUCUUAUACAAGAUCCAACACACUAAACAUAAUGGUAUUUCACUUUGCCAAAGUAGAUGUACUUUCUGGUUGGUUUUCAGGGAUGUUGUUAAGCGAUGUUUUACGUCUUUGUUCUUUAAAUAAUGAUCAAGGUGUUACCAGUACCAGUACUAGAUUUAUAUAUUUUAUUGUAUCAAAAGGACUUUUUUUUUUACAUUAGAUUUUCAUUUUUUGUAAUUUUAUUUUUUAAGACUGAUUUGGAUUCAAUGACAUUCAAUGAAUUUGAAUUUUAAAACUUGAGGAUAAAUAAGUAUCAGUUUCUAGUCUUAGAAUUUAUUAACUUACCGUAGAAGACAGGCAUCCUAGUUUAGUAGAACUCAGUGCUUAAAGAAAGUGUCUACCGUUAGAAAAUUGGCAAACCAUAGGUUAGUUUUUUUUUUUUAUUAAUAGUUUUAUUUAUUAUGUCUUUGGUUGAAUGAUUCUUCUAGUUUAGCUUUUUAUUUUCGGUAGUUAAGAAGAAUUGUUUUAUUCUAAGACUUGUCCUCAGACGAAUACAAGUACAGAUGUACUUAUCAAGUACAGAGCAAUAGGACCUACAUAGUCCUCUUCCAUGAUCAGAUAUUGUGAUAAUCUUUGUGCAAUAUACAUUUUUAGGUUAGGUAUUUUUUUCAUUGUUUUUGAGUGGAUGCUCUGCUGACAGACAUCAAUACUUGAUGCCAUCUGUCAAUGAGCAGGGCUCUUUAUCCAACACAGAUAAUGGCCAGCACUUCUUACAUCAGCAGGAGUAAUUGUAGGGUUUUCUAGACAUUUCACUCAUCUGUCUGCCUGUACCUGUAGGAAAGUGGUACAUUGGCUGUAUACCGUUUACCCAGAUUCUCCAUUACCGACUCUGCCCCCAGAUUCAUUCCUGUGUCCGACAGGGAGCCAUUAUCGAUAUUUCUUGUUACAAUCUGUUAUGUUUGUGUGAUGAAGUUAUAGUGAGCAAAUCCAUAAUAAAGCCAGUAAAAAUC
rnacentral:sRNA from 1 species